rnacentral:rRNA from 1 species
AACGAACGCUGGCGGCAUGCCUAACACAUGCAAGUCGAACGAGAUCUUCGGGUCUAGUGGCGCACGGGUGCGUAACGCGUGGGAAUCUGCCCUUUGGUUCGGAAUAACAGUUGGAAACGACUGCUAAUACCGGAUGAUGACGAAAGUCCAAAGAUUUAUCGCCAGAGGAUGAGCCCGCGUAGGAUUAGCUAGUUGGUGUGGUAAAGGCGCACCAAGGCGACGAUCCUUAGCUGGUCUGAGAGGAUGAUCAGCCACACUGGGACUGAGACACGGCCCAGACUCCUACGGGAGGCAGCAGUGGGGAGUAUUGGACAAUGGGCGAAAGCCUGAUCCAGCAAUGCCGCGUGAGUGAUGAAGGCCUUAGGGUUGUAAGCUCUUUUACCCGGGAUGAUAAUGACAGUACCGGGAGAAUAAGCUCCGGCUAACUCCGUGCCAGCAGCCGCCGUAAUAC